AUUGAACGCUGGCGGCAUGCCUUACACAUGCAAGUCGAACGGCAGCACGGGGAGCGAAUCCUGGUGGCGAGUGGCGAACGGGUGAGUAAUAUAUCGGAACGUGCCCAGUCGUGGGGGAUAACGUAGCGAAAGCUACGCUAAUACCGCAUACGAUCUAUGGAUGAAAGCGGGGGAUCGCAAGACCUCGCGCGAUUGGAGCGGCCGAUAUCAGAUUUAGGUAGUUGGUGGGGUAAAAGCCUACCAAGCCUUCGAUCUGUAGCUGGUCUGAGAGGACGACCAGCCACACUGGAACUGAGACACGGUCCAGACUCCUACGGGAGGCAGCAGUGGGGAAUUUUGGACAAGUGGGCGCAAGCCUGAUCCAGCAAUGCCGCGUGCAGGAUGAAGGACCUC
rnacentral:rRNA from 1 species